rnacentral:tRNA from 1 species
ACCUAGGUAGUUUAAUUAGAAUCUCAAUUUGUGGUGUUGGUGGUGUGUUGGCACUCUGGGUU